GACGAACGCUGGCGGCGUGCUUAACACAUGCAAGUCGAACGGAAAGGCCCUGCUUUUGUGGGUUGCUCGAGUGGCGAACGGGUGAGUAACACGUGAGUAACCUGCCCUUGACUUUGGGAUAACUUCAGGAAACUGGGGCUAAUACCGGAUAGGAGCUCCUGCUGCAUGGUGGGGGUUGGAGAGUUUCGGCGGUUGGGGCUGGACUCGCGGCUUAUCAGCUUGUUGGUGGGGUAGUGGCUUACCAAGGCUUUGACGGGUAGCCGGCCUGGGAGGGUGACCGGCCACAUUGGGACUGCGAUACGGCCCAGACUCCUACGGGAGGCAGCAGUGGGGAAUCUUGCACAGUGGGCGGAAGCCUGAUGAAGCAGCGCCGCGUGCGGGAUGCCGGCCUUCGGGUUGUAAACCGCUUUCGCCUGUGCCGAAGCGUGAGUGACGGUAAUGGGUAAAGAAGCACCGGCUAACUACGUG
rnacentral:rRNA from 1 species